ACUUUUUGGAGGUGAGGAAGAAUGUUGACACCAUGUUCCUUUUUCUGCAAAUCAGCUAUGUUGUUGAUAUUGUUAUAGAACACUGUAAAGCAGACCUUUAUGAAUCCUGGCAUUUUUUUUCCAAAUCCGCCACAUCCCAUCUGAUUAAGCCACAUGACAUAUAUGUUAAUGUGCUCGGAAAAUUAGCCGGGGGAAUGAUACGACAGAAGAGGGAUACCUACUAGACUACAAUGUUAGAGGAGUCAUAUCCAUGGUGUGUUCAUAUUAAUUAAUAUAUAGAAUGUGCAAUCAACAGUUCACCUUUUUGUUGAUUCUGUCAGUACUUCAAGUUCCUCCAUUGUAGCGUAAACGUCAUAGAUGUCGUCGAUAGUAGUUAUGAAGGCUGUAAUGGCAGUGAGUACCUUCCUUCCAUAACUAAACUCAGGGUCAGAGUUAUAGCCCACACUCCAGUAGAAACACUCCAUGAUCAGCCUUUCUCUAGCGAAGCCUAAUAUUUCGCCCCAUUCGGUGUCCUUCCACCAUCUGCACAAAAUUAAACAGUGCUCAGUUCAGUAAACAAACUAUCCAGCUGUUAAUAAAAAUUAGAUUCAUUCACAGAGCUAGCUAGCGUUUACGUACUUUGACAAGUACUUGAGAUCAUCUUGAUAAAUUGACUGCACCAUGUUGUAGUCCAGUUUUGAGAAGUAGAGCAGGGCAGCAACGUAAUCUUCUGCUGGUGCAGACGUCUCGUAGAAGUCGAUGAACCACCUAGCUUCACUACAAGAAAGGCGGCUUUUUUCGACCGCAAAAAAUCUGGUUGAAAAUAGGUAUUUUCGACCGUUUUUGUCGAAAUUAUCUAUUUUCGACCGCGUAAAGCUGUCGAAAAUAAGCUGGUCGAAAUUACCAUUCCGGUCGAAAAUGUUGUAAUUAUUGAUUUGAAAUCAUGUCGACUUGGGGGCGGGACAGCAAUAAUAUACAUGUUUGUUUGUAAAGAUUACAAUCUCUUAAAAUAAAAUAUACUCCCUCCGUCCCCCUCAAUUGUUUACAUUGGAGGGGGACACGGAGACCAAGACAAUGUAUUAAAAAUAAGUAAAGUUAGAUGAAAAGUGGGUAAAGUGGUGAGACCUAUCAAUAUUUAAUAAUAGAUUUGAGAUAGUGGAGGAAAGUAGUGGGUGUAAUAGUAGUUUUUAUUGUUAAAUAUGAGAUAGUGGGGGAAGAUAGUGGGUGUAAUGAUGAGAAAAACUUACUAUUUAUAGUAAUGUAAAGAAAUGAGAGGGACAUCCUAAAAUAGUAACUGUAAACAAAUGAGAGGGACAGAGGGAGUAUACACUUUGUACAACGUAUGAGCUUAUAUAUACACCUGUACAACGUAUUAGCUUAUAUGAAUUGCAAUUGUAAUUUUCUUGAUUUUCAAUUUUUAAUGGAAAAUGAAGAAGAAAUUUCUAACAAGAAAGUGUGAGGAUUAGCAGUACUAGAAAGAUGGAGAGUGAGUGAAUGAAUGAGGGACAGAGGGAGGCAAAGAAGUGUGUACAUAUAGGGGGGAAAAGGAAGGAGAGAGAAAGUCGAAAACAUUUGCUAGAUAUAUGAGCUAAUACGUGUACAGGUGUAUAUAUAAGCUAAGAUUACAAUAUAUACACCUGUACAUAUAUAUACACCUCAACAUGUUCGGCCUCCACUAAAAUAAAUUACUAUCAACUUACUCCCUCUGUCCCGGUCAAUUGUAUACAUUUCUUUUUCACUGCUCGACACGCUUUUUAAGGCUCUUAUAAAACAUAGUUCUACAACUUAUUUUUAAGAUUUUCUUUUUUUGUAUAAAAGUAUAAAUGUUAUAUUUUUAUACAAAAAAAGAAAAUCUUAAAAAUAAUUUACAGAACUAUAUUAUAUUGAAGCAUUAAAGUCCGUGCCGCGCCCCCGUCCCCCAAUGUAUACUAUUGACUGGGACGGAGGGAGUAUAUCGUAGCAUCAAAUUUAUUGUGAAAGGUGAACCGUUGCGAUAUCCAUCGUACAAGAAUGUAAGCGAGUUUUAUAGAUUUCUUAAUAUAUCAUAUAUAUCAUUUUCACAAAACUACUGAAAUCUUUAUCAAAACACACAACAUUAAUAUCAAAACAUAACACACAAACAUUACAAAAAGAUGAACAUAAGUACCCUAACAUUUCAAAAAAAAUUGGAUAUAUAUGACUAACAAUUUUGAUAAUAAUGUACUAAACAAUAUCUCAUCCAAAAAAGAUUAGAUCGAAUUUUUAUUGAAAACCAGUAAAUAGAAGAGAGGAUGGGAGAAUGAAGGGCUUUAAUCGGUGAGGGGAUGAAGAUCUGAAAAAUGGAGAAGUGGCGGCUAGAACCCUAGUUACGAAAGUCGACUCACAAAACAGCUCAGAUGGUGAAUGCUAGAAAUAUUGCAGUAGACCAGUACAUUAUUUAUUGCAAGACAUUAACGAUGAAGAUGGUGAGAGUAACCUAAAUAGGUAUCGGGUCAACGAUUAGAUAUGUUGAACGGUCUAUAUCCUUAGCAUUUGGUGCACCAUGUCCAUCUCCAUACAUAUAGAUGGCUGUAGUUAUCCUAGCCAGAUUCAAGCACACAUCAAUAAAAGGCUUCGAAAAUAUAGACUCUGCAGCUUGCAUCUCUUCAUUGAACUCCUUCCAGAUCUCAAUCAAAAACCGCUUAACGUAUUCUCUAGCCGCGUCUUCCGAAACACCAUUAUCAUUCAUGUAACAUUGGAUCAAUUUUGGAGUGUCACCCUUCUUUAGUUCACCCUGCAAUAUAUAUCAGUAGUAAACCUAAAUUAAUUAACAUCCGGUGUAUAAAAUGUAUGACAAUGUAGCACGAAAAAAAGAUGUAGUACGCACAUCUGAGGUCGCGAUAUCAUCUGUAAUUCUAAUUAUCAUGGACACGAGACGAACUAUUUUGGGACAAUUCAUGAUGCUUUGCAAGGCUUCGUCGGUGAAGGAUGGUUCAGUCAAGAAAUAUAGAUGAGUAAGGACUACCGGCCCUGUUAUUGAGAUCCAGGCAUUGUCGAGGUAUUCACUGAGACUUGGUUUAUAUCCACUGUGGUACCACUUGGCCUCCACCAAAUAAGCGUCAAAUAGAUCAGUCCACUGUAUCAGAUAUCCAUUGACGAGUAAUUAUGUUAAUAAUAAUACUCUCUCCGUCCCAACCAUUUGUUUACAUAUAGUUUGGGCACAGAGGGCAGUGGAAAAGAGAAAAAAAAGUGGUUGGAGUGGUUACUCAUUGAUUUUUAAAGUAUAAAAGGAAAAUAGUGGAGUAAAAGUAGUGUGUAAAAGUAAGAAAAGUGGGAAAGUAGUGGGACUCAUGGACUAUUUUUGAUAAGUUUUGAAAUGUAAAGAAUUAAAUGGAACGCAAGAAAGAAAACCGUAAAGAAAUGAUUGGCAUAUACUAGUCUGGUAGUCUUAACAAAUUAUCUAUUUCACAUAAAUAUCAAACAGAGUUUAGCUAAACUUGCCGCUUUUUGGAUGUAAGGAAGGACAGAGAUACCAUGUUCCCUUUCUGCAACCUCGGCUACUUGAUUGAUAUUAUCAUAGAACACUUUAAAACAAACCUUUACAUAAUCUGGCAGCUGGUCCAGCUCUGCCACAUCCCAUCUGAUUAAUGCCACAAGAUAUACGAUGACGUUAAUGUUAGGGAUUAUGACAUGAUAUUGCAGAUGUAUUCAAGUAGUUGAUAGAUGGAAUGGAUUUUGUUAGUAAUGACAGUUCACCUUUUUGAUAAUUUUGUCAACAAUUCAAGUUCCUCCAAAGUACCAUAAACGUCGUAGAUAUCGUCGAUGGUAGUUAUGAAGGUUGUCACGGCAGUGAGCACCUUCCUUCCAUAACUAAACUCAGGGUUAGGGUUAUAGCCCACACUCCAAUGGAAACACUCCAUCAACCUAUCCCUAGCAAAACCUAAUUUUUCACCCCAUUCCGUGUCCUUCCACCAUCUAUACAUGAAUUGAAUUAUAUAGUACGUGAGACAUCAAGUCGAGUAAACAAAAACCAACUGUUAGAUAAAAAAACUGUACGUACUUUGACAAGUGUUUGAGAUCAUCUUGAUAGAUUGCCUGCACCAUGUUGUAGUCCAAUUUUGCAAAGGAGAGCAAGCUAGAGACAUAAUCUUCUGCUGGUGCAGACGUCUCAUAAAACUCAAUGAACCACCUAGCUUCUUGCCUCGGCUCCCUCCAACGUUGUGGAAGCUCCAAUGCAUGACAAACAAGUUUAACAAGAUUUUCAUCUUUACAGCUGAUAUCAUUUAUGUAGUCUGUCAUGUGCUUCGUUGUGAAAUCUUGCGCCUCGUCCAUGAUUUCUUCAUUCUUUAUUGAAAGGUAUGAUGCCUCGUACAAUUGUACCAAGCCCUUCAUAUCUUUCCUGAGGCUGGCCUUAAAUUUCCCCGAUUCGUCCAUAAAUUGCUUAAAAAUAUCUACAAAAUAUAUAUCACACAAAGGAGUAUACAUCUUUGUAUCAGUAACAUGUUAUCAUUUUCAUGAGUGUGCAAAUAUACUCUGAUAGAAAACUUAACCAAUUGAAGAGAAAACAAUCACCUUGAGGAACAUUAACACCCUGCUCCCGAGUUUUAAAAUGGAAGGAAAGCAAGUGAAGAGGAAGUAAAGUUAUCUAACUUUCACUCUUUUGUGUGCUCCCGAGUUUUUUAAAGAGUUGAAAGUGAGUGAAAGUGAGUGCAAAUAUAGCAUAGUUUCACUCCAAAACUUUCACUCCAAAAGUGGGAUGAAAGUGAAAGCACACUUGCUUUCACUUGCAUUCACUUGCUUUCUCUCCUAAAAAAACUCGGGAGCAAGGCCUAAAGUUAUGCUGCCUUAAUAGUCUAAAUUUCAGAGAUGUGGCAUGAAGAUCCUGACUGUUUAACUUUUCAUCAUUGUUGUAUAUAGCCUCCAGUAUCCUCUUAAUUUCAUCCUCAAAGUGAUAGGACACUCCAAGUCUUUGAAUAGCAUCAACUAACUCAAGUUUAUGGAGGCUGUCCAAGUCCUCUUUGUUGAGCAAAAACCUCACAUUUUCUUUUAAUUCACAAGCUUGUCUACUGCAAAUUUCUCCCUGCAUGUACAUAUACAUGAUUCAAACAUGAGUUCUCUAGAGUUAGCUAGGGUGCUAUCUAGGCUAGGCCCUAAUUAGAUCAUAUAUUACAUUCAGCACUUCCAUCAUCUAUGGACUAUAUAUGGAGGACUCCAACUAGUGAUUAGUAUCUGAAUAAAGUUAUGAUACCUUGAGCAACCAACUAUAUAUAUGCAACUCUUAGCCCCUCACUCAACGGACAAUAAUAUGGACAAAUAUAACAAAUUAACAAACAAUUAUUUGGAAGGGUGAAAAAUAAACUAAUUUAAAUGAAAAAAUUGAAAAGUUACCAUAUAGAAAAUGAUUUUACAAUUGAUUUUAACAUAACCGAGUCUAACAAAUUAACGUAAACUAAUUAAUCACCGUUAUAAAAUAUUAUGCACAAGCUUCCCGAGCUGGAUCCGUCGGUGGCACACUGAAAUCAUGCUAAUUAGUAAACAAAUUUGAGAUGCUGAGAAGAGCUAAUAAAUAGAUCAUAAAAUACAAUAUCCACCAUCUACCUAAUUAGAUAAACAAAAAGGUGAUCUUGCAUGCAUGCUUGAUAUAUAAAUAAAGCCAUAUCCCGUACCUUAAAACUACUGGCAAGAGAUUGAAAAAAAUCAUAAUCCCAGGUCGGAGGAGAAUAACUUCCUGAUCUUCUACCAAUCGAUAUUUUAUCACGAGUACUAGUACAUCGAAUACUAGAGAUUUUCACAACUUUGCCUGCAGUAAAGGAUCGGUUUACAGAUGCAAAAGAAGUUGGUUUAAGCAUACAAGGAAUCGAAGGGAAAUGCAAGCGAAAAUUCACAAUAUUAACGGCCAUAUUGGUAGUGACUGUUUUGCUUAACUAGCUAGCUUUUGUAUUCUAUUGUGCAUGGAAAUAGAAUCAAACACUAUCACUAUCACUAUCACUUUAUAUUGAGAAUUAGCCACGUUUAGGGUUAAGUGAAAACUAUAGUUAAUACUCCCUCCGUCCCAAUCAAUUCUAUACAGUUUCCUUUUUGGGAUGUCCCAUCAAUUCUAUACAUUCCCAAAAUAGCAACUUUUUAUAAUAUAAAACACUACUACACCCACUACAUUCUCCCACUAUCUCCAUUUUAUAAUAAUAAAAACACUAUUACACCCACUACCUUCCUCCACUAUCUCAAAUCUAUUAUUAAAAAGUAUAUGGGUCCCACCACUUUACCCACUUUUCAUUUAACUUUACUCAUUUCUUACACAUUUUCUUGGUCUCCGUGUCCAAUCCCAACGUAUAUAACUCACUGGGACGGAGGGAGUAGGCACUCACAUUAGUUUAUACGGGGUACAGCAUGGGUGCAUGGAGUAAAUUAUUGCCGCUGAUUUUGUUUCAUGGAAAUUCAAUGUUAGACAGCUUAUAUAUAUAAUUCUUUAGUCGUUAAAAAUUUUAAAUUCUCAAUUUAUUAAUGAUUAAAUUAAGUUAAUUUCAACUGAGUAGUUAGUUUGAUAUAUUUGACUUGUGACAUACGUAAAUGAAUUAAAGUGAUAAUCGAAAAAUAAAAAUUGUCUAAUUAAACAAUUUUUUAUUAUGAUUAAUUAAUAAAUUUAAAUAAAAGUUAUUUUUUGGCUUGCCUCAUUACUAAGAACUUAAUUGACCUUACAAAAAAAAAAAAAGAACUUAAUUGAGAGUUACGGGUCAAGUCAUUUUGAUAUAUUAUGAUAAUCUAGUAAUCAUAAAUUACCUAGGAGCUUGUUUAUCUGAUUUUACUUCCAAUCUUAAAUUCAUUUUUUGUUUUAAAUUAAAAUAUUCUGUUUAUAUAAUAGGGAAACGGACUUAAACUUAAAAAUAAGUCAUACUUAAAAUUAGAAGUACGUCAGAUAUACUUUUCUCUAUUAUUUAUAUUUCUUCAACAAAAUUCAAUUUUAAUAUUAAAAAAUAUAAUUUAUAAAAUAUAUAUUAGUUUAUGAUUAUAUUUUUAAUAACCAAUAGAUCAUUUAUAAUAAAAAACUACAGUAUCGUGGAAAUCGAAUACUUUUAAUUUGUUUUAGUUUAACUUGUCAAACUAAUCAGGCUAGAUUAAUUAAAGACCGUAGCACCUGAAAGUAGAAAGUUUGGUUUCACCGACAGGGACCACAACACCAAAAUAUACCUAUAAAAGUAAUAUAAUUAAUAAUCAAAUAUAUAUGGACCUUAGUGACAUGUGACUGUAAGUUGUCAAUUUCAAAUAAUCUAAUGGAGGAUCAAUGCUAUUAUAAGUAUUGGGAGAUUUUUAUUGUCAGGGAAUAACUGGACGAUCUCUAUCACUUUAAAUGAAAUCAACCAUGGUAUUGGCAAAUCAAAAAAGUACUUCUUUUAGCAUUUUAAGUUGCUGCUUUUUUUUGUUCCGUGUGGCAAAAAAGCUGAAGUGCUUCUUUUGGGAUUCUGAAGCCACCCUUAGCAUUUUUUAAGAUUUUUUAGUGAUUUGUAUUUUAUUAUGAAAUUUUAAUUUUUAAUGUGUAAUAAAAAUUUCAUGUAUUUUAACAAAUUGAUUUUUUAAAAAUUCAUAAAUUUAAAUUAUGUCACACUCAAUUGACUUAUACAAAUAUCCAAACACAUUUAAUAUUUGAUAAUUUAUAAGUCACUUAUAAUUUUCUUCUUUGCUUUAACCGAUAAUCGUUCAUUUUAAAUUAAGCAGCCCCCAAGUCAAAACAAUACAAAAGGCAUACUCUUCAGUUGGUUUGUGUACCGCACGGGUGCAGUAAAUUAUUGCCAAUAGUUCCGUAUCCUGGAAAUUCAAUGUUGGAAAACUUAUAUAUGAUUCUUUAAUCAUAAAAACAAUAAUUGUGUUUUAUAUCAAUUAAUUAAUAAUUAGAUUAUAGAAUACUCAUCACAUCGUUUGAAAGUCUUAGAUAUCCAAUAUUCACAGGAGUAGACUCGAACUAUCCAUUUAUGAAAAUUGUGUCCAAAAUAACCAAAGAGCUGAGCAUUUCGAGUAUGUAUGCAGGUACACACGUAUUUUUAGUUUGCGUGUUCUAUCAUGUUUGUGAUUUUUAAUGAUAAUUUCACAGUACACGCAUGAUGUGACAGAUGCGUGGAUUCUCUUGAACACGCAUGACAAUUAUGCGUAUGUUGUGCUUCUAUGCUCCUCAAUAUCCAGACAUAACUUCAAAGCUUAUUUAUUUGUAUACAUCUGAUCUCAAAACUCAAAACACCAGUGAUAGAGAAGAUAUUGUUGAUAUAGAUGUAAAACCAUGUUAAAGAAGCUAGAUGAAAUCGAUUGAGGGACAAUAAAUUAGUUAAUAAAUAAAAUUAACAAGAAGAAUUGUGUGGAUAACUGUGUGUCCGUGUGUAUGUAUAUGUGAAUUUCUUUGGAUUUAUAAGCUCAAGACACAAAAGAGAGAAGCAUCGUCCUUGUUCACUCUUCAACUACUAAGCAUCGUAUACGCAUUCUACUAGUGCGAGUUUGAAUAGGUAAAAAGAACAAUUAUAUGGAAAAUAUGUAUUUUAAACAUAUAAUCAUUAGAAAUUCGUUAUUUAGGGUAAUUUUUCCAUCAUAUUAGUCUGUUUGUGUACGGCAUGGGUGCGAUAAAUUAUUGUCAAUGGUUCUGUGUGAUGGAAAUUCAAUGUUGGACAACUUAUAUAUAAUUUUUUAAUCAUAAAAUAAAAUAAAUAUAUUGAUAUAUAACUAAUAGUUAUAUUAAGUUAUUUUUAAAAUGAGUAAUUAGUUUGAUAUCAUUGACUUUUGAUGUAAAUGAAUUUAAUGUGAUGAUCGUAAAAUGAAAUUUGUCAAAUUAGGUAAUUUUGUAUUAUGAAUAAUUAAUAAAUUAUUAGAAAGACAUUUUGGCUUGUAGUGAGCUCAUUACUAAGAACUUGAGAGUUAUGGAUUAGUUAUUUUGAGAUAUUACGAGAAUUUAGUAAUCAUAAAGGUCAUGACUCAUGAGGAGUAUCAACACAAUGCAACUAAUUUCUUACAAACACAUGAAACAAAAGCAGUGCUGCAGCUAAUUUCUUGAGUUCAUAUAUAUUAGCCCAGAAUAGACUUUUAGCGUGAAAUUCAAAAUAGACUUUUAUAAGCAACUGAUUCAUGUCAGCAUGUUUAAACUGGUUUCUAUAAUCCCCGACCCGCUCAUGAUUCAGGGUUAUCCGGGAAUUUUAUGAAAAACUUGGACUAUUUUUUGGAAGGAAAAAGAGUUCCACUAAGGUUGAUUUUAAAAAGGUUUUUUGUAUUCCACACUCACAAUAUUCAAAUUCAAGAUGAUAUAUAAUAAUAAAAAUAGAGAGAGAAAUUGAAGGGCAGUCAGUUCGACAUCCAAGUCAAUCCUCACGAUUUGGUAUACACUCAUAGCAGGUUGUUGAUGACGAUUUCAUGAGCUUAAUUUUUUAUUCGGCAAGUUUAUUCUCUCAAUAUUAUAUGUAACCAAAAUGUCUUCGUCUUUUUAAAAAGAUACGUCUUUUCUCGAUUAAUUAUCUUGUUGUGAACAAAUGUGUGUUUUACUUCUUGACUUGUUAAUUUGUUUUGUAUAUAUUACAAUAACAUAUCUACUUCAUAUAAAUUAUUUUAUACUUUUGAUCUUCUAAUUUUAAGGUCAUAUGAAUUUUUAGGUGAUCGAAAUCAUGGAUUUAUAUUUGAUUUGUAAAUUUUGUUUAGCUUACUUUGUAGGUCAGGUCGAGAUAUUUUGUGACAUGUUUUUGUCUUAUCUGGAUUUGUUAUGAUUGGCCAGAAUAUUAUUUUGAAAUCAGGUCCAUUAUAGAUUUUGAUAUGUGUUCUUGAUUGUGUGGUUAUGUUAUAGUGUAUGGAUUUGAUAUAAUUUUUUUUUGAAUUUUACUCUCGAGAUAUUUUAGUCUUUUAAAUUUUUUGCACGUACUUUUAAGAGUUUUGACUGCUUGAUUAAAAUUUUUACUUUUAAAAUUUCAUUUUGUGAUGAAUAAAAAUAAUAGUAUCAUUUUAUUCAAAAUAAAAAUAAAAUUUGAAAAAUAAUAUUUCUAUGUGUGCGGUCCAAAUUUUCAAAAAUACUUGCAAAAAACUUAACAGCAUAACAUACCCUCAUCAAUUCAAAUAAUUAUCCAGCAAACAAUCUUAAUAUAUUGAUUUUCUAACUAGAUCAGCCAACGUUUAACUCAUGAGUUUUAUCUAGUCAUACAAGUUGGUAAUUCAAAAUAUUCUUUCCUUUCAAAAUCUUCAAUAUUGUACACCAUGAAAAGCUUUUUGCAAGCUGGUGAAGAAGAUGAAAUAUUAAACUAUAGAGGUAUGGGGUCAACAAAAAGAUAUGUGGAACGCUCUUUGUCCUUGAGAGUUGGAGCACCAUGUCCAUCUCCAUACAUGUAUAUACUCAGAGCUAUCCUCCCCAGAUUCAUGCACAUUUCGAUAAAAGGCUUCGAGAAUGUUGCCUCUGCAAUUAUUUUCUCUUCAUUUAUCUCCUUCCAGGUCUCGAUUAACAAGCUCCGAACGUAAACCCUAGCUUCCUCUUCUGAAACACCGUUGUCAUUCAUGUAACAUUGCACCACUUUUGGAUUGUCACCCCUGGCUAGUUCAUGCUGUGAUAUCAUCGAAAAUGGAAUUGAACGUAAAUCGACAUGCUAGUCUAAAAUGUACUCCUUUCAGCCCACUCAAAUGUUUAUCGAGAUUAAGAAAAUAAGUAAAGAGUGAAAAAAUUAGAAAAGUGAGGUUAGGGGUGGGACUGGUAUUUCAUUUUUAUAUAUUAUAAACUUUUACGUCUUAGUAAGUUUUGAAAUCUAAAGAAUUAUAUAAGACAUCUUAAAAUGGAAAGUUCAAAGAAAAUGGUUGAGACAGAGAAAGUAUGAAACAAGUGUGACCCGAGUGCUCAAGCUCAUGUCACCGAUUUAAAGGAUAAUAAUGUGUGAAUAAUAUAAGAUCUUGCUAGGCCUUACUUUUUUUAGUUGAGUUAUUCACGGACAAAAUUAUAAACGUCAAAAUAUUUUCCAUUUGAGUAUAUAUGAUCGACAAAGAGAUUUAGUACGUACGUAUGAGGUUCCCAUAUCAUCUGCAAGUCUCAAAAUGAUGGCCGCCAGACGAAUUAUCUUCGGAUAAUCCCAUAUGCUUUGUAAGGCCUCGUCAGUGAAGGAGGUUGUGCUCAAGAAAUAUGAAUGAGUUAAAAUUAUAGGCCCUGUUAUUGAGAUCCAUGCAUUGUCGAGGUAUUCUCUGAGACUUGGUUUGUAUCCACUGUGGUACCACUUCGCCUCCAACAAAUAAGCUUCGAAAACAUCUGUCCACUGUAAAACAGUUCACUUGAAUGUCAAGCAGAGUACUCUACUUAAGUUAAACAAAUUUUGCACAAAUAUGGUUGGUGUAAGAAAAGAGUAGUGCUACAUGCACAAAAUUGGGUACAAAAUUUUGCAUAACAUGAUAUGAUAAUUGAGGUGCGAUAUUGUUUUAAUCACUGCUAUUUAUGUGAAUACAGGGGUCUCGUUCCAAUCAAAACUUAACACAUGUCAUUUUGUGGAAAAAUUUGUACCCAAUUUUGUGCAUGAAGCAUUUCCGUAAGAAAAUUUACCACUUUCUGGAGGUGAGGAAGAAUAUUGACACCAUGUUCCUUUUCUGCAAUAUCAGCUACAUUGUUGAUUUCGUUAUAGAACACUGUAAAGCAGACCUUUAUGAAUUCUGGCAUUUGUUCCAAAUCCGCCACAUCCCAUCUGAUUAAGUCACAGGGUAUAUGUUAAUGUGCCCGGAAAUUAGCAAGGAGAACGAUACGAGAGAAGAGGGAUACCUACUAGACUACAAUGAUAGGGACGUUCAUAUUAACAUAUAGUAUGUGCAAUUAAACAUUUCACCUU
rnacentral:lncRNA from 1 species